rnacentral:rRNA from 1 species
UACGUAGGGUGCGAGCGUUGUCCGGAAUUAUUGGGCGUAAAGAGCUCGUAGGCGGUGUGUCACGUCGGCCGUGAAAACCUGGGGCUUAACUCUGGGCGUGCGGUCGAUACGGGCAUCACUAGAGUUCGGCAGGGGAGACUGGAAUUCCUGGUGAUGAGCGGUGAAAUGCGCAGAGUAUCAGGAGGAACACCGGUGGCGAAGGCGGGUCUCUGGGCAACAACUGACGUGGAGGAGCGAAAGCCGUGGGGAGCGAACAGG